rnacentral:rRNA from 1 species
UACGGAGGGUGCGAGCGUUGUCCGGAAUCACUGGGCGUAAAGGGCGCGUAGGUGGCGCGAGGAGUCUGUGGUGAAAGCCCGAGGCUCAACUUCGGGUCGGCCGCGGAUACUCUCGUGCUGGAGGGUGGUAGAGGCCAAUGGAAUUCCGGGUGUAGCGGUGGAAUGCGUAGAGAUCCGGAAGAACACCGGUGGCGAAGGCGGUUGGCUGGGACGGUACUGACGCUGAGACGCGAAAGCGUGGGGAGCGAA